AACUCUGGAGAGUCUCAUUUUGAGCGCCGAAGGUGUACCAUGGUAAUCACGAUUACCAUCUAUCUCUCAGGCAAAAGGACAGAGCAU
rnacentral:ncRNA from 1 species